rnacentral:lncRNA from 1 species
GGGGGGCCCAGCAACGCACACGACCAUGCCUCAGUCCAGGGUAUAAAUCUCAAUUAAACCUUCGGGCUGCAAUUCCUCACCCUGCGCGCCUGCUUUGGGAUGACACGCCAGGGGGCGCAGGGGUCGAGGUAUAGGAGCGGGCGCUCUGGGGUGCUGGAAGGAUCACAGAAAGGGCCGAGCAGGACGGGAGCGGGCCCUGGGUGUGGACCGGGGUGAGGUGCCCCGCACCACCUUUUGCAGGGCUCGAACCCGUGGCCGACCUGGCAGUUCCGCGCACCCUGUCCGGCUGCGCCCAGCCUAGCAGAGGGGCGGAAGAGGUGGUGUCCUCCAGAGUUUGGGCAGUGAGAUUGGAUAUUUGCAGUUCCACACAACAGAAAUCUGUCUUUUAAGUAAGGUGAGAAAAAUUAAGUUUCCUAAUGUUUAAGUUCGGUAGGAGUAACCUUUACUUUUGAAAAUCUGUUACCUCUUUAUUUUUGUGCAUUAAGCACCACAGAGAGCCAAAUAAGAUUAGAGACAAUUAUAUAAGAGACGGCCUUUGUCUCUAUUCCAUCUUUUCACAUGACACUCUUUCCACUUUUACCU